UAACCUGCCCAAGAGAUCGGGAUAACACCUGGAAACAGAUGCUAAUACCGGAUAACAACAGAUGAUGCCUAUCAACUGUUUAAAAGAUGGUUCUGCUAUCACUCUUGGAUGGACCUGCGGUGCAUUAGCUAGUUGGUAGGGUAACGGCCUACCAAGGCGAUGAUGCAUAGCCGAGUUGAGAGACUGAUCGGCCACAUUGGGACUGAGACACGGCCCAAACUCUACGGGAGGCAGCAGCC
rnacentral:rRNA from 1 species